UGGCAGGUACAGAGGGAUGCUACCGGGCGACCGGAUGCGGAUCUCGAAAGCCUGUCCCAGUUCGGACUGGAGUCUGCAACCCGACUCCACGAAGUUGGAUUCGCUAGUAAUCGCGCAUCAGCCAUGGCGCGGUGAAUACGUCCCCGGGCCUUGUACACACCGCCCGUCAAGCCAUGGGAGCCGGGGGCGCCUGAAGUCCGGGACCGCGAGGACCGGCCUAGGGCGAAACUGGUAACUGGGGCUAAGUCGUAACAAGGUAAC
rnacentral:rRNA from 1 species